AACGCACAUUGCGCUCCUCGGUAUUCCGGGGAGCAUGCCUGUUCGAGCGUCAUUGCACCUCUCAAGCAUAGCUUGGUAUUGGAUUCUUCGUCUGUAAAGGGACGUAUCCGAAAAUGAGUGGCGGUCGAGUAUGACUUCAAGCGUAGUAAAAUUUAUCCCGCUUUGGAAGCUUCUUACUCUGGCCCGCCAGAACCCAUCAAAUUUUUUCAAUGAUUGACCUCGGAUCAGGUAGGGAUACCCGCUGAACUUAA
rnacentral:misc_RNA from 1 species